AAACUUUCAACAACGGAUCUCUUGGUUCUGGCAUCGAUGAANAACGCAGCAA
rnacentral:rRNA from 1 species